CUCAAGUUCAGGAAAAGUUUCAAGUGAUUCACAGCAAGUAAGGUCUAACUUGAUGAGUUUGCUGAGAUUUCCAAUGGAAGAUGGAAUAGUCUUAAGCUUUGUGCAACUUCGUAAGCUUAAUUCUUCGAGUCCGACCAAAUGGUGCAAGGAUGAAGGCAAUUCUUUUAUUGCUGUUUUGUCUAGGAUUAGCACUUCUAGAUUUUCCAUAGUCAUCGCGAGUUCAGGAAAAGUUUCAAGUGAUUCACAAUUAGUAAGGUCUAACUUGAUGAGUUUGCUGAGGUUUCCAAUGGAAGAUGGAAUGGUCUUAAGCUUUGUGCAACUUCGCAAGCUCAGUUCUUAAGCCCGGUCAAAUGGUGCAAGGAUGAAGGUAGGAGUUCUUUUAUUGCUGUUUCGUCUAAGAUAAGCACUGAUAGAUUUUCCCUUGUCUAUUUGAUUUCAGGUAACUCCUCCAAUUUUAAACAACCACGGAAACUAAGUCUUCUUAGAAGCUUUAAAUUUAAAAGUUCUGCUGGCAUG
rnacentral:lncRNA from 1 species